rnacentral:rRNA from 1 species
AGAGUUUGAUCCUGGCUCAGAAUCAACGCUGGCGGCGUGCCUCAGACAUGCAAGUCGAACGAUUAAGACUUCCUUCGGGAAGUGCAUAAAGUGGCGCACGGGUGAGUAACACGUAAGUAAUCUACCCUCGAGUGGGGAAUAACGUUCGGAAACGGACGCUAAUACCGCAUAACGCAGCGGCACCGCAAGGUGACAGUUGUUAAAGGAGCAAUCCGCUUGAGGAGGAGCUUGCGGCAGAUUAGCUAGUUGGUAGGGUAAUGGCUUACCAAGGCUACGAUCUGUAUCCGGUCUAAGAGGACGGUCGGACACACUGACACUGAAUAACGGGUCAGACUCCUACGGGAGGCAGCAGUCGGGAAUUUUGGCAAUGGGCGAAAGCCUGACCCAGCAACGCCGCGUGAAGGAUGAAGUAUUUCGGUAUGUAAACUUCGAAAGAAUAGGAAGAAUAAAUGACGGUACUAUUUAUAAGCUCCGGCUAACUACGUG